CGAGGACCAGAGAGUGCUGGCUUCAGAUCAGGCUGGAGACAGGAGGUCCCUUCGCGGGAGGAUCAAAACAGGCCCUCAAAUACUAGAAGACAGCUAUCAAG